UCAGUUUGAUUCUGACCGAUAAAUUAGCUUAACUCAACCAAUAUACAUGUAAACAUACCUGCCCCCGCACCAAAAAUAAACUAUAAGAUAUAACACCGUAUUAAGAAUAUUCUAUAUACGGCAGUGCGCCACAGUAAAUAACACUAUUAAAUCUGAUAAAUCAAGAAAUGAGUAUGAGUAAAGGGCUGACAAAAUUCGUGCCAGCUGUCGCGGUUAGACGAUAAGCCCAAGCUAAUAUAAUAUAGACCAAUUAACCGAUAAGUUAAACACACACUAAAAGUCUAAUUUAUACUGGCUAAGACUCCAACUUAUCACGCGCCAAUGAAACCAUGAACUAAAACAUGGAUUAGAUACCCAUCUAUUCAUGAUGUAAAUUUUAUAGUCGAAUAUUACGAACUGCAGUUUAAAAUUCAAAGAUCUUGGCGGUGUCUUAUAUAACCAGGGGAACCUGUCUCAUAACUCGAUAGUCCACGACCACCUGACCUUCUUUUGCAAACCAGCUUGUGUACUGCCGUUGUAAGCACACCUUUAAAAGAAAUAAGUAUGCUUUUAUGAUCAGCCUAUAACUGACUCAAAUACAUCAGGUCAAAGUGCAGUUCAUAGGGAGGAGAUGAUGGGUUACAACCUAAAAAUAGACAAUAGAUUAAAAAUAAAAAAUUUUAUGAAACUGGACUUGGAUGUAAUUAAUACCAUCACACAAUAAUGAAUUACUACCUAAGACAUGCACACAUCGCCCGUCACUCUAUCCAAAAGGAUAGAUAAGUCGUAACAAAGUAGGUGUAAUGGAAAUUGCGCCUGU
rnacentral:ncRNA from 1 species